rnacentral:RNase_P_RNA from 1 species
GGCGGAGGGAAGCUCAUCAGUGGGGCCACAAACUGAGUGCGCUGCGUCACUCUACCCCAUGUCCCUUGGGAAGGUCUGAGACUAGGGCCAUAAAGCGGCCCUAACAGGGCCCUCCCUGAACCUCGGGGAGGUGAGUUCCCAGAGAACGGGGCUCCGCGCGAGGGCAGACUGGGCAGGAGAUGCCGUGGACUCCGCCCUUGGGGAGGGGCCCGGCGGAUGCCUCCUUAGCCGGAGCUUGGAACAGACUCACGGCCAGCGAAGUGAGUUCAAUGGCUGAGGUGAGGUACCCUCCACCGGGGCCUCAUAACCCAAUUCAGACUACUCUCCCCCGUC